CCUCCGGCCGGACAGGAAACAGCGACCGGGACGGCGGGGGAAAUGACGCCGCGGAAACGCUUCGGACCGGAAGCUACGUCGGCCGGCGGGGCCGGGGCCGGAAGCGGCGCUGCGGCCGUUGCGUGGGGGCGGUGCGGCGAGCCCUGAGGGGAGGCGGUGGGCUGGUGGGGGGAUGCCUGUGGCCUUUGCCCUGUUACUGUCAGUCCUCUGUGCCCCCACCGCUGCUCUUCCGCUCUGACUCCUACAGCAACAGCAAAUCAACCUUGCCAAAAUGAAACGCCUUUUUGGGGGGUGGCGGCUCGAUCGCAACAUGGCCGGCUGCAGGGCCACGUAGGCCUUGCCUGCAGAGGAGGAGGUGGGGAGACACUGAAAGUGAGGAGCCCAGGACACAUAGCAGUGCCCAUCUGGCUUCGCGUAAAAUACAGGGCUGCCACACUGAUGGGAUUUUUUCCCAAAGAAGCAUCCAAAGAUGGCAUCUGAAGUUGAAGGAGCCCAACAGCCUUAUCUAAAAAAUGGGGGAAGGGGUGUUUCUCUUCUCUCUACCGACUGAAAAGUUAGACUGGUACGGCACUGUACCUGUUCCUGACAAGAGCACAUAGGCUGUCACUCAUCCUCUUUUUUUAAGUGUUAAAACUAGGAGAAGCAUUCAUGUUGUCAACAGAUAAUUGAAGUUGAAGGGUAAAUUCUGCAUCUCUAGCCCAAGUCCAAUGGAGAAUUUUUUAUAUCACAUUUCUCAAAGUGACCAUGGGGAAGGGAAAUACUACCAUGGAUCGUGUCUGGGUUCGAGGAAGGAGAAACGCUGCCACGGUGCCACUGCAGCUGGAAUGAGAGAUGUGUCCAGGAGGAAGUGUUUCAAGCAGGACCAAGAGCAAAGUGAGAAGGGAAGAAGCAGAAUACGCACUGGGCAGGAGCAAGAGGAGAUGCUGAACCGAUCCAACACUGUUGGAGGCUCUUGCUGAGAAACAAGAUCCUGAUUUAGUCCUUCCUAUCAGCUGUGCUUCCUCUGCUUGUGCUUGGAGCAGCCAUUUUCCUAUGAUGGGGCCUGACAGCCUUUGGCCCUAGCUGUACCUCCUCUGGCUUUACCUCCAUUACCCUCCUUUUAGCUGCCUAGUAACAUCCCCAUUUAAAUAUAUUUAUUCCUCUCA